GCUGGGUGUGGUGACACAUGCCUGUAAUCCCAGAGACUUGGGAGGCUGAGGCAGGAGGAUGACAAGAUUGAAGCCAGCCUCAA
rnacentral:sRNA from 1 species